AUCCAGCUGACGAGUCUCAAAUUGGGCGGAACGCAUGUCCUGAAU
rnacentral:hammerhead_ribozyme from 1 species